GAUGAACGCUGGCGGCGUGCUUAACACAUGCAAGUCGAACGGAAAGGCUCCUGCUUGCAGGGGUACUCGAGUGGCGAACGGGUGAGUAACACGUGGGUGAUCUGCCCUGCACUUCGGGAUAAGCCUGGGAAACUGGGUCUAAUACCGGAUAGGACCACAUUUUGGAUGGUGUGGUGGAAAGUUUUUCGGUGUGGGAUGAGCUCGCGGCCUAUCAGCUUGUUGGUGGGGUAAUGGCCUACCAAGGCGUCGACGGGUAGCCGGCCUGAGAGGGUGUACGGCCACAUUGGGACUGAGAUACGGCCCAGACUCCGACGGGAGGCAGCAGUGGGGAAUAUCGAACAAUGGGCGCAAGCCUGAUGCAGCGACGCCGCGUGGGGGAUGACGGCCUUCGGGUUGUAAACUCCUUUCGCUAGGGACGAAGCGUUUUUGUGACGGUACCUGGAGAAGAAGCACCGGCUAACUACGUG
rnacentral:rRNA from 1 species